UUAGAGCAGGACACUCACAACGACAAGAUCUUGUGUUCUCGGCACCUGCUUUUCCCUGUGCAAAUGUUUUUCCAUGUUAUUAUGUCAAUACAGACACAGAGAAAAUAAUCUCAGUUGCAUGUCCUACUAGAAAAAAGAUUGUUUAACUCACUGAGCAACCACAAACUAUCUCCUGCAUGCAUUUUGUCCUCUCCACAUUUAACCUGCUUUUGCCAUAACGAAUGCCAAAUCCCUUCUCAUAGGAGUACAAAUUGUAGAAGUCGUAAGCCUCACCCACCGAGUCGAAUGUUGUGCCGAUAACUGGCGUGAUAACAUUC
rnacentral:lncRNA from 1 species